rnacentral:rRNA from 1 species
UACCCGCGGUCCAAGUCGCAGCCAUAUUUAUUGGGGUCUAAAACAUCCGUAGCUUGCUUGGCAAGUUUUCUGUGAAAUCUCAAAUCUUAAAUUUGAGGCGUGCAGAAAGUACUACCGUGCUAGAGACCGGAAGACGUAAGAAGUACAUCUAAAGUAGCGGUAAAAUGUGUUAAUCUUAGGUGGACUCACAAUAGCGAAGGCAUCUUACGAGGACGGUUCUGACAGUAAGGGAUGAAGGCUAGGGGCACAAAGUGGAUUAGAUACCCAUGUAGUCCUAGCAGUAAACACUGCACACUAAACAUUAGUACCUCUUCGAGAGGUAUUGGUGCUGUAGCGAAGGCGAAGAGUGUGCUACCUGGGAAGUAUAGACGCAAGUCCGAAACUUAAAGGAAUAGGCGGGGAGACACUACAACGGGUGACGCGUGCGGUUCAAUUAGAUUCUACACCGUGAACCUCACCAGGAGCGACAGCAGAAUGAAGGUCAGUCUGAAGGGCUUACCUGACACGCUGAGAGGAGUUGCAUGGCCGACGUCAGCCUGUGUCGUGAGAUGACCUGUUAAAUCAGGUAACAGGCGAGACCCACAUCUAUAUUUACUAUGCGUACAAUAUAGAGAUUGCCUCGGUAACGUGGAUGAAAGUGUGGGCUACGUUAGGUGAGUACAGCCCGAAUCCCCUGGGCAACACGCGCGCGGCAAUGGCGGAUACAAUGGGACGCAACUCUGAAAAGAGAAGCUAAUCUCCUAAAGUCCGCCCUAGUUCAGAUUGAGGUUUGUAACUCAGCCUCAUGACGCUGGAAUCCGUAGUAAUCGUUUGUUAUCAGCGAACGGUGAAUAUGUCACUGUCUCU